rnacentral:rRNA from 1 species
GAAUUUUAUAUAAAUUUAUUUAAAUAUUUAAUAUAUAAUAUAUAAAUUAUAUGAUAUAGUAAUAACUGUAUUUUAAUUAAAAUAAAAAAUUAUAUUUAAUUGGGAGGAUUUUUAAAUUAAAUAAACUUUAAAUUAAAAUUAUUACAUAAAUAAAUGAAAUAAAGAAUUAUUAUUAGAGUGAUUAAUAAAUUAAUAAAGAAAUAAUUACCUUAGGGAUAACAGCGUAAUAUUUUUAGAUAGAUCGUAUAAAUAAAAAUGAUUGC